GACGGAGGGUGCUAGCGUUGUUCGGAAUCACUGGGCGUAAAGGGCGCGUAGGCGGCUUUGGCCGUCGGCUGUGAAAGCCCGGGGCUCAACCCCGGAGGUGCAGCCGAGACCCCGAAGCUGGAGGCCGGAAGAGGAGGGUGGAAUACCCAGUGUAGAGGUGAAAUUCGUAGAUAUUGGGUGGAACACCGGUGGCGAAAGCGGCUCUCUGGUCCGGACCUGACGCUGAGGCGCGAAAGCGUGGGGAGCAAACAGG
rnacentral:rRNA from 2 species